rnacentral:rRNA from 1 species
UACGGAGGAUGCGAGCGUUAUCCGGAUUUAUUGGGUUUAAAGGGUGCGUAGGCGGGAUUAUAAGUCAGUUGUGAAAGUUUGCGGCUCAACCGUAAAAUUGCAAUUGAAACUGUAAUUCUUGAGUAUAGUAGAAGAAGGCGGAAUUCGUGGUGUAGCGGUGAAAUGCUUAGAUAUCACGAAGAACUCCAAUUGCGUAGGCAGCUUUCUAGGCUAUAACUGACGCUGAUGCACGAAAGUGUGGGUAUCAAAC